rnacentral:rRNA from 1 species
UUUUAUGGAGAGUUUGAUCCUGGCUCAGGAUGAACGCUGGCGGCGUGCCUAAUACAUGCAAGUCGAGCGAACGGACGAGAAGCUUGCUUCUCUGAUGUUAGCGGCGGACGGGUGAGUAACACGUGGAUAACCUACCUAUAAGACUGGGAUAACUUCGGGAAACCGGAGCUAAUACCGGAUAAUAUUAUGAACCGCAUGGUUCAAAAGUGAAAGACGGUCUUGCUGUCACUUAUAGAUGGAUCCGCGCUGCAUUAGCUAGUUGGUAAGGUAACGGCUUACCAAGGCAACGAUGCAUAGCCGACCUGAGAGGGUGAUCGGCCACACUGGAACUGAGACACGGUCCAGACUCCUACGGGAGGCAGCAGUAGGGAAUCUUCCGCAAUGGGCGAAAGCCUGACGGAGCAACGCCGCGUGAGUGAUGAAGGUCUUCGGAUCGUAAAACUCUGUUAUUAGGGAAGAACAUAUGUGUAAGUAACUGUGCACAUCUUGACGGUACCUAAUCAGAAAGCCACGGCUAACUACGUGCCAGCAGCCGCGGUAAUACGUAGGUGGCAAGCGUUAUCCGGAAUUAUUGGGCGUAAAGCGCGCGUAGGCGGUUUUUUAAGUCUGAUGUGAAAGCCCACGGCUCAACCGUGGAGGGUCAUUGGAAACUGGAAAACUUGAGUGCAGAAGAGGAAAGUGGAAUUCCAUGUGUAGCGGUGAAAUGCGCAGAGAUAUGGAGGAACACCAGUGGCGAAGGCGACUUUCUGGUCUGUAACUGACGCUGAUGUGCGAAAGCGUGGGGAUCAAACAGGAUUAGAUACCCUGGUAGUCCACGCCGUAAACGAUGAGUGCUAAGUGUUAGGGGGUUUCCGCCCCUUAGUGCUGCAGCUAACGCAUUAAGCACUCCGCCUGGGGAGUACGACCGCAAGGUUGAAACUCAAAGGAAUUGACGGGGACCCGCACAAGCGGUGGAGCAUGUGGUUUAAUUCGAAGCAACGCGAAGAACCUUACCAAAUCUUGACAUCCUUUGACAACUCUAGAGAUAGAGCUUUCCCCUUCGGGGGACAAAGUGACAGGUGGUGCAUGGUUGUCGUCAGCUCGUGUCGUGAGAUGUUGGGUUAAGUCCCGCAACGAGCGCAACCCUUAAGCUUAGUUGCCAUCAUUAAGUUGGGCACUCUAAGUUGACUGCCGGUGACAAACCGGAGGAAGGUGGGGAUGACGUCAAAUCAUCAUGCCCCUUAUGAUUUGGGCUACACACGUGCUACAAUGGACAAUACAAAGGGCAGCGAAACCGCGAGGUCAAGCAAAUCCCAUAAAGUUGUUCUCAGUUCGGAUUGUAGUCUGCAACUCGACUACAUGAAGCUGGAAUCGCUAGUAAUCGUAGAUCAGCAUGCUACGGUGAAUACGUUCCCGGGUCUUGUACACACCGCCCGUCACACCACGAGAGUUUGUAACACCCGAAGCCGGUGGAGUAACCUUUUAGGAGCUAGCCGUCGAAGGUGGGACAAAUGAUUGGGGUGAAGUCGUAACAAGGUAGCCGUAUCGGAAGGUGCGGCUGGAUCACCUCCUUUCU